AAAAGAGGGGGGAAAAGCGCUCAACUCUCCCCCAAGCCGCGGCGCGCACCCGUCGGCGCCGAGCGCGCAGCCUGCUCCGCCGCCGCCUCUCGGUCCCGCCGCCGCCGCCGCCACCGCCGGGCAGGUUUACAAAUUGCUGUGUUUUCAAAUUUGCAGUUGUUUCCACAGACCACAUUUCGUGUUUACCAAUUCUUCAUAUCAUGCAGGUAUGAUCAGCGUCAACAGCAACAUUUCAAUUUGAAAAGGAAAGAUAGUACUGGAGUGGAGAAACAAAGAGGGAAGGACUCACAGGACUUAGACUCCUCCGUGCCUGCGUCCAGAGUGAGACAAAGAGGGAUAGGGCCUUAGCUUCUUAUUGCAGAGGUGAGUAAAGGAUCGGCAAACAGGACCCGCAAGAAAGAUUAAAGCACCUAUCUAGAGAAGGGAUACUGUCUUCAGCUGGUGUGCACCCGGAGUUCUUUCACACGCACCAGGGGAAGUACACCUCCACUGAAGAUCAACAUGAGGAACUGGAGGAUGUCGUCACACACGGGAGUCGUUUUCCCCAGUCUGAUCUUCAGUGUACUGCCAAGGAGAGUUGUGGGCUCUCCACAGGACUGAUUUUAAAAUCUCUGCAACCAAAGCAGGCUUGGCAAGUCACCUGUUCACCCACUGAUACCCUUCUUGAAAUAUGCCUUCCUUAUAUAAGACUGAGUGGACAGAGGGUUUGAACUUAGUCCAAAUUCUCUAGAGGACUUCGGUGAUCAUGAAUUUUGGACAACAUACAGUACAGUUCGUCUAACCCAGGCGUCCUCAAACUUUGUAAACGGGGCCAGUUCACUGUCCCUCAGACCGUUGGAGGGCCGGACUAUAGUUUAAAAAAGAAACAAACUAUGAACAAAUUCCUAUGCACACUGCACAUAUCUUAUUUUGAAGUAAAAAACAAAAUGGGAACAAAUACAAUUCACACCGCUUCAUGCGGCCCGCGGGCUGCAGUUUGAGGACUAAACAAUGAGCCAGAGAAACUGUCCUUGUUCUUGGAAGCCUGAAAAUGCUUUCUUUUCCAUUAGUUCUUGUUUCUAAAUAGUUUCAAGGACUUCAGUUACACAAAAAAAGUAGCAAAUAUCGGAUUGUUUGCAGGUAAAAUUUAAGAUACAACCUGUAACUAGUAAUUUAAACAUUACAAUUUUAGAAGUUUUGUUAAAGGAUAGGCUUACAUGAUAGGGAUGGCCUUUCUCAGAGACAAAGAUGAAACACAUGAAUCCUCCUGCCUUACUAUAUUUUGACGUGUAGCCUUCAUUAAUAUGAAAUGCAUACAUGUUUAAGACAACAACUCCCCAGCCUCCCACUCAAAUAGAUAGUUGCUGCUGAAGUCCCACUCUUCCUGUGCAGUCUUCCAGGGAUGAUUAGGUAAACGUGACUCAGUUUACCCAAGAAUCGGGUACUCACUGUUUCCUUUGUCCAAAAGUUUACUUACACUUGACCUUUACAUUGUGUGAUUGGCUGUCCACCCAUGCAUUGCUUUGCUUCCACUCUGUCCCUAAUGGCCUCUGACUAUGCCUGUCGGUAUUAGUGUGCCUGAUACCGAUUUUAAGUUUGUAGAGGGAAAGGACAGAAUCUCUUUUGACCCCCAUAGAUCACCAAUUCUCACCAAUUACUCUUUGUUCUAAAUUGUAUCUCCCAUUUCAUUUCACAUGUUGAAGCUCUAGCCUCUGAGGUGUGAUGUUUGAAGAUGGGGCCUUUGAAAGAUAAUUAAGUGGAGAGGAGGUCCCAAGAAUGGGAUUGAUCCUCUCAGAGGAGAUGCUGGAGAGCUUGCUCGUUCUCUCCCCAGAGGGCACAGUGUAUGAGGGCACAGUGAGAAGGCAGCCUUCUACAAACCAGGAGAAACGCCUUUACUAGGAAGGCAUUGCGCUGGCACCUAGAUCUUAGACUUCCAGUCUCUAGAAUUGUGAGAAAAUAAAUUCCUGGUUAAAGCCACACACUCUAUGGUAUUUUGUUAUAAGAGCCCAAGCUGACAAAGACAACAACUGAGCAAUUGUAUCCUUAGUCCUGGAAAGGGUUAAUUUAGGAAGCUACUCAUACAAAUUCAAGGUAUCAAAAUAUGUAAACACUUCUACAUAAUUAAGAGAUCUUGGGAAGAGUUACAGUGGUCACAUUCUCCAUGCUGCCUCAUCUGCGUGGUGACAUCUAACAUCACUUUUAGUUAAGGCAACCUUCAAGGGCCCCCUGUAUGUCAGGUGGUGGAGUUAGCAGUACAGUAACACUUGCUGGCUGAUGUCCUCCCUGUCGUCUUCCCUUCCCUCUCCUUCUUGGGUGCUUUGCACAUUUAUGUUUUCUUCUUCUUCUUUUUUUUUUUAGAAACAGGGUCUUGCUAUGUUGUCCAGGCUAGUCUCAGACUCCUAUGUCCAAGUAAUCUCCCACCUCCACCUUUCCAAUAGCUGGGACUACAGGUGCACCACCGUACCCAACUUGCCCAUUUAUGUUUUCUGCAUGGCCUCGAAAUACAUUUGCAAUCUCUACAACAGACAUUAGCCAGAGAAUGAACAGGAUUUAAGCCAAGGGAAUAGCAUGAACAAAGUCAGAGAGGCCUUAAAGAUGAACAAAAGUUGAAAACAACUGGAGAUUUGCCAUAGUUUUUAACGUGCCGAGAUGGGAGUAGGAGAGGUAAGGAUGUACGCAGUACAGGGAAGGGAGCAGUGAGAGGAGAGGUCAGAGGUCAUUCAGAUCAUUGACACUGUGUGUGUCUAACUGAAGAGCUGGAACUUCGUUUUAAUGGAGUUGGGGAAUCUUGAAGGGUUUUAACAUACGAACUGGCUGUGAUAUAUUUGUAUUAUAAUAUUUUAUGAACAAUGGGCUUUUUACACACUGUUUCUCUUUUAGUAGGGACUCCAUAAGCAAUUGCACGAGGUACUUAACUACAGAAGGAGAGACCAGAUACUUCUUUUUCUGAUAUUUUGUUAAUCUGCUGUCUUAAUAUCUGUGGUACAUAAAUAUACUCAGAAAAAUAUUUAAUUACACAUUGUGACCCUGUGUCAUCUACCUUUCUCACCACUUUAUAUGUUCCAGUCUCAAAAUCUCCAUCCUCUUAGCCCCAACCUCAACAUUUUAAAUUAUAGAAAACUACGUAGACAGGACUUCAGCCCCUUAGUUGCAAUUCUGAAAUUCAAAAAGCACUGAAUAGUGCUUACAGCUACUUUGAGACACAUAGGCAGCAAAACCUAGAGGCUUUAUCUAGUCUGACCUGACAAGAAAGAGGCUCUGUGUAGAAUUUAUUGAUCCUGCUCAAUAAAUAUUCAUAUGUUUUGCUACAGAAAUAUUCCUGUGCUUAAUUAUGGGGGACUACUUAAAUCCCAUG